rnacentral:rRNA from 1 species
GAUGAACGCUAGCGGCAGGCUUAAUACAUGCAAGUCGAGGGACAGCACAGGUAGCAAUACUGGGUGGUAACCGGCAAACGGGUGCGGAACACGUACACAACCUUCCUUUAAGUGGGGGAUAGCCGAGAGAAAUUUGGAUUAAUACCCCGUAAUAUAGUUGAAUGGCAUCAUUUGAUUAUUAUAGCUACGGCGCUUAAUGAUGGGUGUGCGGCUGAUUAGAUAGUUGGCGGGGUAACGGCCCACCAAGUAUACGAUCAGUAGCUGAUGUGAGAGCAGGAUCAGCCACACGGGCACUGAGACACGGGCCCGACUCCUACGGGAGGCAGCAGUAAGGAAUAUUGGUCAAUGGACGCAAGUCUGAACCAGCCAUGCCGCGUGAAGGAUUAAGGUCCUCUGGAUUGUAAACUUCUUUUAUUUGGGACGAAAAAGGGCCUUUCUAGGUCAACUGACGGUACCAGAUGAAUAAGCACCGGCUAACUCCGUGCCAGCCGCCGCCGUAAGAC